rnacentral:rRNA from 1 species
GGCCUACGGGAGGCAGCAGUGAGGAAUAUUGGUCAAUAGGCUUACGCCUGAACCAGCCAAGUCGCGUGAGGGAAGACUGCCCUAUGGGUUGUAAACCUCUUUUGUCAGGGAGCAACGCCGGCUACGUGUAGCCGGACUGAGAGUACCUGAAGAAAAAGCAUCGGCUAACUCCGUGCCAGCAGCCGCGGUAAUACGGAGGAUGCGAGCGUUAUCCGGAUUUAUUGGGUUAAAGGGUGCGUAGGCGGCUUGGCAAGUCAGUAGUGAAAUCCAUGGGCUUAACCCAUGAACUGCUAUUGAAACUGUCG